AACAAAAUACAAAAUAAAUAUAAUAAAAUAAAAUGAAGGAGGCUUCUUAGCCCAACUUCUUCAACUUUUAAAUUUGCUUUGGCCUAUUUCGAAUUCGUCCAAACUUCGGGAUCUAUUCAUCAUCUUCUCUAUUGCCAGUGAGGCUGACUCGGGGGUAAAGGUUUGAGUCUUCGUGGCUCAAACAUAGGAUGCAAGGAGGGAGAUGGGGUCCAAAUGGACUCGAGCGGAGUUCACAAAAAAAAAAAAAAAAUACAUUAGCAAAUUUGAAUUGCAGUGACCAAAGAAAUAAACAUACUUUAUGGACUAUAACAUUUACUCAAUCAAACAAAUAAACCAAACGAAAAAGAGAAUCACAUCCAAACCAAUGCAUCGGAAUCUUGAAAACACAAGCGAUAGGUUUGUCAUAAGGAGAGAAUAAAUAAACAUAACACAUAGGUUAAUAUUUCCUCCACUAUUUCCCAAUAAACUCACAUGAUAUGUUUUCCAACAAUGAAAAGAAUAACAACAAGCUUCCUGCAGUAGGAAAAGUAUUUCAAGGCAUGGAUAAAAUAGUGAAAUGGGGAAUAUAUGGCAUUACGCUUAAGAUGCAACACAAGACUAAACCAAAGUAAUAUAAAAUCCACGUGUAGAAUAAAAUUUAACAUUUUAAACAAGAGCAAAGCUAUAGGCAAAUAUUAAAAUAUGUCACUGUUCUUACUAGAAAAAUUAGACGCGAAAGCAAAGAGAGGGAUUGUUAUAUCCCCCUCUUUUUUAAAAAAAAAAAAAAAAAUCUUCCACAAGUUCAAUAAAUAAAUAAUGAGUACAAAAAAAAACACACAGCAACAGAACAUGCCAUAAGGUUUGGAACAAUUUUCAUACAAUGUGAAUUCCGAGAACUCCGGUGAGAUUGCGAGAAAACAGAACCGAAGGAAUAUCACCUCAAACGUUCACUAUUACACAGCCUAUUCCCCAAAUAUUUCGUCUAUUGACUCUAAUUUUUGUCCUCUAUCUCUCAGCUAAGCUACUCUUUUCAAAGUUAAAAGAUAUUUCUCCUAACCUUUUGCACUGUUCUUUUCAGCUUUUACUAACUCAAAAAAUUUUUCUUUUUUUCUUCCGCCUCCUUCCUAUAGUGAAUAAUAAGAAGUAUAUAUAGCUUGAAAAAUUAGGGUAAAACUUAGGAAGAGGCUGACUGAUUUAAGGUAAAACCAAAGACCCAUUCCGAAUUCUUGUUCAAAAUUCAAACAACUUUUUGCAUGAAAGGGGAAACACACAUUUUUCUAAGAUUUUGACCCAUUCCGAAGGUCACGAGGACGCAAAACGUGUGCCUUGCCGGUGCUUUCUGCUGUUGCAACCGUACGAGGACAGGGACGAAGGAGGGACGACUAUCACGCGCAAUUGAGCUUCUGGGUUUGUUCACUGUUUUACACGCGUGAAGAAAUCGGGUUGAAAACGUUUAGAUUUGAUUUGAUGGAGAAAAUUGUGUCAAUUUUAAUUAAACAUGGUGGCAAAUGGAAUUCAUCAGGAAAAUACGUCGACUUUGAGUUGGAGGGCAUCCUAUAUGAUACAUCUACUCUUUAUAUUGGUUUAGUUAAUGCUAUAGUAUCUCAACUUAAUAUAGAAGAAAAUAUAAAUUCUGUUGAGAUAAAAUAUAUUACAGCCUCAAGAAUUUCAGAGAUGCUUAUGCCAUUCCUGUCGAGCCUAUCCCGUGCGAGAGUACAUGGGAUAUACCAAGUUAUAUUUCAGAGCCUAAAAUGAUGCCACCCGGUCCAAAAAGAUCAGCGGGAAGACCCAAAUUUGAACGCUGGAAGGGGUUCGCUGAUGUGAAAUUCAAGAGGACAAAAAGCACAUGCAGUAGAUGCCAUCAAGUUGGACACAAUAGGAAGACAUGUUCAAAUUAUCCUGUACAAAAACAAUGAUUUCCUACUGUUACAUCUGUGUUUUUGAGUAUUUACAUUGUUAUAACAUUAUUUUUUUUAUUGAAUCAUAUUACUUUUCAUAAAAA